AGAGUUUGAUCCUAGCUCAGGAUGAACGUUAGUAGUAUGCCUAACACAUGCAAGUCGAGCGGGAAGCAAUAGCAAUAUUGUUUCUAGCGGCGAACUGGUGAGUAAUACUUAUCUUACCUACCGUUUAGUGGGGGACAACCGAAGGAGACUUUGGCUAAUACCGCAUAUUCUGGUUUCGACCAGGAAAGGAUUUCGGUUCGCUAAAUGAUGGGGAUAAGGCGUAUUAGCUUGUUGGUGGGGUAAAGGCCUACCAAGGCCAAGAUGCGUAGCCAAACUGAGAGGUUGAAUGGCCACAAGGGAACUGAGACACGGUCCCUCUAUCCUACGGGAGGCAGCAGUGGGGAAUUGUCGGCAAUGGGGGCAACCCUGACCGCGCAAUACUACGUGAAGGAAGAAGGUCUACGGAUUGUAAACUUCUUUACUCAGGUGUACUCCUAAAAGCUUGCAUUUGAGCAAAAAGCCACGACUAACUAUGUGCCAGCAGUCGCGGUAAGACAUAGGUGGCGAACGUUAUCCGGAUUUAUUGGGCGUAAAGGAUGCGUAGAUGGUGGAAUAAGUUAUUAGUCAAAGUCAAGCUCAACUUGGCGGAAGCUGGUAAUACUAUUCUACUUGAGGACAGGAGAGGUUGGCGGAAUUCUGUGUGGAGCGGUGAAAUGCGUUGAUCUACAGAGGAACACCAAAAAAGGCGAAGGCAGCCAACUAUUCUGCUCCUGACAUUGAGGCAUGAAAGCGUGGGGAGCAAACCGGAUUAGAUACCCGGGUAGUCCACGCCCUAAACGAUGAGUGCUAGAUAUUGGGAACUUGAUUCUCAGUGUCGCUAGUUAACACAUUAAGUACUCCGCCUGGGUAGUACAGUCGCAAGGCCGAAACUCAAAGGAAUUGACGGGGACUCGCACAAGCAGUGGAGCAUGUGGUUUAAUCCGAUACAACGCGUAGAACCUUACCAAGGUUUGACAUGUCCGGCAAAACUGUGGAAACACAGCGGAGGUUAUCCGGACACAGGUGCUGCAUGGCCGUCGUCAGUUCGUGCCGUGAGGUGUAUGGUUAAGUCCUAUAACGAACGCAACCCUUGGACUUAGUUGCCAGCAUUCAGUUGGGGACUCUAGGUCGACUGCCUGAGCAAUCAGGAGGAAGGAAAGGAUGACGCCUGGUCGUCAUGGCCCUUAUGCCUUGGGCGACACACGUGCUACAAUGGCUAACACAAAGGGAUGCCAACCCGCGAGGGGGA
rnacentral:rRNA from 1 species